rnacentral:rRNA from 1 species
CCAGACUCCUACGGGAGGCAGCAGUAGGGAAUCUUCGGCAAUGGACGGAAGUCUGACCGAGCAGCGCCGCGUGAGUGAAGAAGGUUUUCGGAUCGUAAAGCUCUGUUGUAAGAGAAGAACGAGUGUGAGAGUGGAAAGUUCACACUGUGACGGUAUCUUACCAGAAAGGGACGGCUAACUACGUGCCAGCAGCCGCGGUAAUACGUAGGUCCCGAGCGUUGUCCGGAUUUAUUGGGCGUAAAGCGAGCGCAGGCGGUUAGAUAAGUCUGAAGUUAAAGGCUGUGGCUUAACCAUAGUACGCUUUGGAAACUGUUUAACUUGAGUGCAAGAGGGGAGAGUGGAAUUCCAUGUGUAGCGGUGAAAUGCGUAGAUAUAUGGAGGAACACCGGUGGCGAAAGCGGCUCUCUGGCUUGUAACUGACGCUGAGGCUCGAAAGCGUGGGGAGCAAACAGGAUUAGAUACCCUGGUAGUCCGCGCCGUAAACGAUGAGUGCUAGGUGUUAGACCCUUUCCGGGGUUUAGUGCCGUAGCUAACGCAUUAAGCACUCCGCCUGGGGAGUACGACCGCAAGGUUGAAACUCAAAGGAAUUGACGGGGGCCCGCACAAG